rnacentral:rRNA from 1 species
CAGUAGCCACGGUAAUACAGAGGGUGCGAGCGUUAAUCGGAUUUACUGGGCGUAAAGCGUGCGUAGGCGGCUUCUUAAGUCGGAUGUGAAAUCCCUGAGCUUAACUUAGGAAUUGCAUUCGAUACUGGGAAGCUAGAGUAUGGGAGAGGAUGGUAGAAUUCCAGGUGUAGCGGUGAAAUGCGUAGAGAUCUGGAGGAAUACCGAUGGCGAAGGCAGCCUUCUGGCCUAAUACUGACGCUGAGGUACGAAAGCAUGGGGAGCAAACAGGAUUAGAUACCCCAGUAGUCCCUGUCUCUUAUAA